rnacentral:tRNA from 1 species
CGGCGAGGUCGCAUAGUGGACUAGUGCAGCCGCCUUGAAAGCGGCCGAGCGGCUCAAACCGUUCCGUGGGUUCGAAUCCCACCCUCGCCGCCCA